rnacentral:misc_RNA from 1 species
GUCCUUCAGAUUUUCUCAGGGUUUUUUAUUCUUUGCGUUUCAGCUGUGGAAUUUAGGGUUUCUGUGGUGAGGUCAAUUUUGGGUUUUAUUUUUGCGUUCACCGUUUCUGUGGGAUAUUUAUGAAUUUAGAGUUGUUUAUUCGAUUUGAGUAUAUCAAUCAGGGGUUUUAACAAGCACUUGGUGCUGUUUUGACGAUCUGAAACAAUGCCUCCACGGACUGUGAAGAGAGGAGGAGCGGCAGCUGGGUCGAAGAGGGCCCUUAGAGCCUCGAGAGGGGCAGCCAAGGGACAAAAUCAGCAACCGGAAGUUGCAGAAGAGACGCCAAAAACAGAGGAAAGGCCGGUCGUUGAUGAAAAGCCUCCUGUGGAGGAGAAACAGCUUUUUGAGAACAAGCCAAUUACAGAAGAAAGGCCAGUUGUAGAAGGUGAAGGUGGAGCCAAAUUAGACGUCAACGGCUCGGCUUCUUUGAAAAGUAAGUAUUCUUGCUUAAAUUAUCGAAUUUUAUUAAGAUCUGAUGGGAUUGGCACCUCUUACGUGUAUCUGUUCAUUGAAAUGUAUGAAGGAUUGCUUCAUCCAUCACAAUUGUCUAUUCCUAAAAAAUGCAGUUAAUUUUCCUCUCAUUUUCUCUAAUUGUUUUAGCGGGUAGUUUUAUCGGUAAUGAUGUGAUGGGCUCACGUUAUGAAUUUUUAGACAAUUGCUCUAAAAUUUAAGUUUCUUAUGUUUUGCUGUUUUAAUCAAGCUAUGGGGCUCAAGCCUCAAAUUACACCCAAUGAUACGCGUGACAUAGAGACAUGAGAGGGAUAUUGAUUUAUUUUGAUGAUAUUUAUCCCCAUAAGGAUCAAGACUUCUGACGAUAUAACUAAUGACUAAAACGCUUAGCAAUUUAUAUUGAGGCUAAUGGAGCAUUCAAGUAUAUAUUGACUGGUCUGGAUCACCAAUCCUUGUUUCAUGACAGAAGGGGAAGAUGUUAAGGAAUCUGUUGAUGAGUAUGAAAAAGAUGAGCGGUUGGAGCUUGAUGAUAACGAACCUGAAUAUGAAGCUGAAGAAUAUGGUGGGGUGGACUAUGAUGAUAAAGAAAUUGAAGAAGAGGAAAUUCAGGAGGUGGAGGUGGAGGUAGAGGUUGGAGAUGAAGUGGAGGAAGAACAUGAGG